rnacentral:rRNA from 1 species
AGCAUAUCAAUAAGCGGAGGAAAAGAAACUAACAAGGAUUCCCCUAGUAACUGCGAGUGAAGCGGGAAAAGCUCAAAUUUGAAAUCUGGCAGUUUUCUGUCCGAGUUGUAAUCUAGAGAAGUGUUACCUGUGCUGGACCGUGUACAAGUCUCCUGGAAUGGAGCAUCACAGAGGGUGAGAAUCCCGUCUUUGACAUGGACUCCCAGUGCGAAUUAUGGGUGCACUCUCGAAGAGUCGAGUUGUUUGGGAAUGCAGCUCAAAAUGGGUGGUAAAUGCCAUCUAAAGCUAAAUAUUGGCGAGAGACCGAUAGCGAACAAGUACCGUGAGGGAAAGAUGAAAAGAACUUUGGAAAGAGAGUUAAACAGUACGUGAAAUUGCUGAAAGGGAAACGCUUGAAGUCAGUCGCGUCAGCUGGAAAUCAGCCUUGCUUCUGCAUGGUGUACUUUCUGGUUUGACGGGUCAGCAUCAAUUUUGAUCAUCAGAUAAAGUCUAUGGGAAUGUGGCAUCCUUGGAUGUGUUAUAGCCCAGAGUUGCAUAUGGUGGUUGGGAUUGAGGAACUCAGCACGCCGCAAGGCCAGGUUUCGACCAUGUUCGUGCUUAGGAUGCUGGCAUAAUGGCUUUAAUCGACCCGUCUUGAAACACGGACCAAGGAGUCUAACAUGCCUGCGAGUGUUUGGGUGGAAAACCCAUGCGCGCAAUGAAAGUGAAAGUUGAGAUCCCUUCAGGGAGCAUUGACGCCCAGACCAGACCUUCUGUGACGGAUCUGCGGUAGAGCAUGUAUGUUGGGACCCGAAAGAUGGUGAACUAUGCCUGAAUAGGGUGAAGCCAGAGGAAACUCUGGUGGAGGCUCGUAGCGAUUCUGACGUGCAAAUCGAUCGUCAAAUUUGGGUAUAGGGGCGAAAGACUAAUCG